AAUUUGAAUAUAAAAUUUAAACCAUAUUUUAAUUUAUUCUUUGACCUUAAUUCUGAAUUGCGAUAUGAAUUCACAUUUAAAUUAACAUUAAAAUUUAAAUUUAAAUCACAAUUCGAACUAAACAUUCAAAUUCAUAAUUUGAAUUCAAAAUUCAAACUGAAACUCAUUAUUAAAAUUAAAUCUAAAUCAUAAAUUUAAAUUUUAUUUCAAGAAUUAAAAUUUAAAUUUUAAAUUUUAGUCAAUAAAUUUGAAUUUAUAGUUGGAACAAUUUGAAUUCAAAGUUCAAUUUGAAAAUUCUUUGUCACACCCCGGAUUACACUUUCCCCGGGCGCGCCGACAAAUCCGCCGUAUACAAAGAAAUUUCCCCUGUAUACGAAGCGAUAGUUGUACCUGUAAAUCAAACACUACUACGAACAGUAGUAGAGAGCUACUAGAGAAAACAGAAGCUAAACAAACUGAGUUUCAUAUACAUAGUCCAAAUCCAAAAUACAAAGCUACUCGCACUCGCGAGUUAAGUCCACUAUGUACAUAAACUCGAAACAAAAUAUCUACCUGCAGUAGGGGCACCUCUAGCUCAGCACGUCGGGUAGGGCUCUAACUCGCGACGCCCUUGUCUCGAUCCUGAUCCGCGGAAGGCGCAGCAGCCGAAACCUGUGGCUCUGCAAAACAGGGGGUAGCAACUGGGCGUGAGAAUUACUGUAAAAACAAGUAGUCCUCAGUAGGUACCGCCCAAAACAACAUCAGUUCACCCACUAAGUCUACAGAAGGGAGCAAGAAUAGCCAAAAAGUAGGAAAUAAACUCAACCGCUACAAAUCACUAUACUAUCAUGCUCUACACUAACCAACUGUAGGAAAUGUCAAAUCUGACCCAAUCCAAUCGGGACUGUAGACAUACCCGUCCCUGGGACUGUGAACACACCCGUCCCUGCCCAGUUGCAACUAUCAGGCUCUAUCCACACAACUGGUCCGUGGAGAGCAAGUCCAACCGGCAUGAGCGACACCAACGCGAAAGCACAAAGCCUGACUCCGGAGUGGCACUCGUGGGCGCUACCCAACCGAGUAUGCAGCGUAUCUCUGUCGAGCUCAAACAGGCUCCAACUAGCCAAAGUCAAGUGAACAGGGUCAAAACAGGUCUACAAACCAAACCUACGUGCCCUCGGCACAAUCUGUGACCAAAACAAGAAUUUGGGUCCACCGCUAACCCGAACGGCACCCAACGACCCGAAACAGCCUAAACUCUGCUGAAAAAUAAGCUCGGCACCCCAGCACGAGCGUAAAUGCCUUCUAAACUACCCCAGGUAUCCAUCGCACUGAUACUGCAACGAUACAAUCGAAUCACAGCUCCUAGAGCUAAAUCUGGUAGUUUAAGCAUAUGACGGGUCAAAACGCAGAUUUUCUCCUAAGUCAAAUUCCAAGUCCAACAUGUAUAAUUUAAAUAUUCAUUUCAGCAUACUUUUACAUUCAUAUUACAUUCAA
rnacentral:lncRNA from 1 species